GAACGCUGGCGGCGUGCUUAACACAUGCAAGUCGAACGGAAAGGCUCCUGCUUGCAGGGGUACUCGAGUGGCGAACGGGUGAGUAACACGUGGGUGAUCUGCCCUGCACUUCGGGAUAAGCCUGGGAAACUGGGUCUAAUACCGGAUAGGACCACAUUUUGGAUGGUGUGGUGGAAAGUUUUUCGGUGUGGGAUGAGCUCGCGGCCUAUCAGCUUGUUGGUGGGGUAAUGGCCUACCAAGGCGUCGACGGGUAGCCGGCCUGAGAGGGUGUACGGCCACAUUGGGACUGAGAUACGGCCCAGACUCCUACGGGAGGCAGCAGUGGGGAAUAUUGCACAAUGGGCGCAAGCCUGAUGCAGCGACGCCGCGUGGGGGAUGACGGCCUUCGGGUUGUAAACUCCUUUCGCUAGGGACGAAGCGUUUUUGUGACGGUACCUGGAGAAGAAGCACCGGCUAACUACGUG
rnacentral:rRNA from 1 species